AUUGAACGCUGGCGGCAGGCUUAACACAUGCAAGUCGAACGAGUGGCGUAAGGGUGAGUAAUGCUUGGGAAUCUAGCUUAUGGAGGGGGAUGACUACGGGAAACUGUAGCUAAUACCGCGUCCCAUAGGAUGGGCCAAAUGGGGUUUGGGUAGUUGGUGAGGUAAAGGCGCGCCAAGCCGACGAUCGCUAUCUGGUCUGAGAGGAUGACCGUCCACACUGGGACUGAGACACGGCCCAGACUCCUACGGGAGGCAGCAUUGGGGAAUAUUGCGCAAUGGGGGCAACCUGACGCAGCCAUGCCGCGUGAAUGAAGAAGGCCUUCGGGUUGUAAAGUUCUUUCGGUAGCGAGGCGUUAACUACAGAAGAAGCACCGGCUAACUCCGUGCCAGCAGCCGCGGUAAUAC
rnacentral:rRNA from 1 species